GGGCCGAUAGCUUAAUGGUAAAGCGUUCGACUCAUAAUCGAUUGAGUCUUGGUUCAAUUCCAAGUCGGCCCA
rnacentral:tRNA from 1 species